GGCCGGAGUGCAGUGGCAUGAUAUUGGCUCACUGCAACCUCCACCUCCCAGGUUCACACCAUUCUCCUGCCUCGGCCUCCCGAGUAGCCGGAACUACAGGCGCCUGCCACUACGCCCAGCUAAUUUUUUUGUAUUUUUUAGUAGAGAUGGGGUUUCACUGUGUUAGCCAGGAUCUCAAUCUCCUGACCUCGUGAUUCACCUGCUUUGGCCUCCCAAAGUGCUUAGAUUACAGGCAUGAGCCACUGCACCUGGCCUUUCAUUGUAUUUUUAAUUUUUCUUCUACAGAUAGUUUGAUCUGCAGUAGUUUGAAUCUGAGGAUGCUGAACCUGUGGAUAAGGAGAGCCUACUUUUCUUGGACAAAUGCCCUGUGUCAGAAGAGUGUGGUAAACAGAAGCUCAGCUCCUUCAAGGAUGACAGCCUUGGUUACACCACCAGAUUCCUCUUCAGGACCAAGGACUCAUUUUCCAGCUGGCAGGAAUGUUAGCUACUGACGGCCAUGGCUGAGUUCCUCUUCAGGAAUUAUCCUCCACUUGAGGGGAAUUGCUUUGUUCAGUGUUACACUCCCUCUAUAGUGGCAGCCCACACUGGUUGAUGUGGGGUACAAAGUCCUGGACCUUGUCUUAGAUGGGAUAGUUCUGAAGGGCUAUUCCAGCUCCAGAACUCCUCAUAGGAUUGGCUGAGGUCUCCUCUGCAACUGGAUCACAGUUCAACUUUUUCUUCUGCCCAGUCCUUCUUCUCUCAUCUGUUGCCAGUUUUAUUCGUGUGAGCAUUCGGAUCACCAACGCUGUGACCUCGCUGUGUGAACGGGAGCUACUACAGGAAGGAAGCUUACAAAUGAGCUGCAUGGAUCCCACAUUUUGCUAAAAUCAAAUAGGACCUUUCUCCUCUUUGUUGAAUGCCGUAAUACACAAGAAAUAAGCCAGCAGGAUGCUCAUGUCCAAGGUUUCCCUUUAUCUACCACACGAGUUGGCAUGAAACAACUUCUGGGGUUCAAAUCUUCUGAACAAUGAUACAAGUCUUGGCAAAUUUCAAGAAUAAUUUAAAGAGGAAAUAAAUAGCUUUUUGUUUAACUUGGAUCAAUUAUCUCCUAUUGCUCCCAGCUUCAUGCCAGGUACUCUCCACUGUGCCUGGGAAAUAUGAAUCCCUGCCCUCAUGAAAAAACAUUGGCCAUGAGGAUUUUCCCUACAACCCAAGAACUAUUUGAAGUUUGAAGUCUUUCAGCCCAGACAACACUGGCUAUUUUCACCUUUGCCUUCAACUAUAAAGGCUGGGCUCUCUCUGCAGGAGUGGGUUACUGCUGGCAGAACAGAGAAAGAGAGAGAGCAGGAGAGAGAGAGACAGACAGAAUCCACUAGUAGAAUAAGCCAUGAUCACCACUCAAAACUUUUGCUACUACUUGAUCAGUACCUGGAAUUCUGAGGAAAACCCUAUUAGAGAUUGCAAAUCCAGUAAAUAAAGGCAGCAGUGGUACCUUGUUAAAAACAUCAAAUCCAAAGUGCUCUGAGGAGGAAUAUGUACGGUGUGUUCUAGGGACAGAAAAUAAGACAAACGUGGCUGGAGUAUUGGAAGGGGAAGUGAGUGUUACUAGAGAAGGUCAUGAGGUGAGGCGGGCCAGAUCAUAUGGGUCUGUGUAAGCUAUGGCAAGGAGUGUGGAUUUUAUUCCAAGUAAGAUGGAAAGCCUUUAUGAAGUUUUAAAAACGGCAGUGUUAUGAUUUGUAACAUCUGAGUUUAUGUUUACAUCGUGGCCAAAUUAUUUUAUAAAAUAAUGUAAUAAUGGUUCAACAGUUUGAUUGUGUUGCCCUUAAAAUUUCACAAGACUUAAAAUUUUCUACACUAUUCAUUUCAGUAUUGACUGUAAUUUAAUAACUCAAUUAGUAAUGUUAAAUAAAUUAUUUGUUACUACCUAUUGAAAUUAUAUAUAUAUAUACACACAC
rnacentral:lncRNA from 10 species